rnacentral:rRNA from 1 species
AUGGCAAUGGCAAUGUCAGGCAGUGUUGGAGGUGCGCUUGAGAGGGAGCCAGGAGCCUCUUUGGGACGUGUGAUCGAUGGGCAGGUGUGCAAGCAAGCGCACGCGCCUGAGAGGGAGCAUGGACGCGAUCGCGGCCGGGCGCCGACUCUGCAGCUUCUGGUCCGCGUGUCACUCAGCAGUGCCUUUUUGAUGGUACGAUGGUUACGUGCGUACGUGUUCACCUGUUGGCAUCAUCAAAACAAAGCUAUCAAGAGAGAUGAGGUGAGCAAAGAGGGGACACUCUCAGGGCUUCUUUGGAUCACAGGAUUUGCAAAAUAA